UAGGGAAUCUUCCACAAUGGGCGAAAGCCUGAUGGGGCAACGCCGCGUGUGUGAUGAAGGGUUUCGGCUCGUAAAACACUGUUGUAAGAGAAGAAUGACAUUGAGAGUAACUGUUCAAUGUGUGACGGUAUCUUACCAGAAAGGAACGGCUAAAUACGUGCCAG
rnacentral:rRNA from 1 species